UACGUAGGGUCCGAGCGUUGUCCGGAAUUACUGGGCGUAAAGAGCUCGUAGGUGGUUUGUCGCGUUGUUCGUGAAAACUCACAGCUCAACUGUGGGCGUGCGGGCGAUACGGGCAGACUUGAGUACUGCAGGGGAGACUGGAAUUCCUGGUGUAGCGGUGAAAUGCGCAGAUAUCAGGAGGAACACCGGUGGCGAAGGCGGGUCUCUGGGCAGUAACUGACGCUGAGGAGCGAAAGCGUGGGUAGCAAACAGG
rnacentral:rRNA from 1 species